rnacentral:rRNA from 1 species
AUUGAACGCUGGCGGCAUGCCUUACACAUGCAAGUCGAACGGUAACAGGUUAAGCUGACGAGUGGCGAACGGAUGAGUAAUGUAUCGGAACGUGCCCAGUCGUGGGGGAUAACUACUCGAAAGAGUGGCUAAUACCGCAUACGACCUGAGGGUGAAAGCGGGGGACCGUAAGGCCUCGCGCGAUUGGAGCGGCCGAUAUCAGAUUAGCUAGUUGGUGGGGUAAAAGCCCACCAAGGCGACGAUCUGUAGCUGGUCUGAGAGGACGACCAGCCACACUGGGACUGAGACACGGCCCAGACUCCUACGGGAGGCAGCAGUGGGGAAUUUUGGACAAUGGACGCAAGUCUGAUCCAGUCAUGCCGCGUGCGGGAAGAAGGCCUUCGGGUUGUAACCGCUUUUGUCAGGGAAGAAACGAGUUUCUCUAAUACAGAGACUUAAUGACGGUACCUGAAGAAUAAGCACCGGCUAACUACGUGCCAGCCGCCGCCGUAAGAC